GCGUCGGUGGUGCAACGGUUCAGCACGCACUUCCGGAAAGGGUGGGAUCUAGGUUCAAAUCCCGGCUGACGCA